rnacentral:misc_RNA from 1 species
UCCACAACAGAAAUACCGCUCAUAUAGGUGUUUAGUAUAAAGGCAACAAAUAGCUGCAAAAGGAAUCAGUAGAAAACACAACGGAAAUCAGCACACAACUCAAAUUGAAACACAGUCUAAUAGACCAACAGUUUAGCCAAACCGAACACAGUGCUUUAGUCUAAAUUCAAGCGGCUAACUGAACACAACACGCGCACUAAAAGAGAAAUGGAUCCCAAAACACCAAGUAACAUUCUAAAUACCAGCGAUGAACAGUAUUUAACUGCGCAAUCGAGCCCAACGCGCGAUGCCGCCCCUUGCCGCUUGUCGUGGUUUCUUGUGCGCAACGAUCCACUUUAUAUAGCCGAAUAUGGCGUCUAUCGUUUAAUACAUGGCAUGGACUUGAUAGAUCCCGAUUAUACCAAUGCAUAUGCGGGUAAUCUUUUGAGUUAUAAUAUCGGAUCAGCAACAAUAACCGGCAGAAUGUUGGCCGUCGCUGAUAAUGUGAAGCUCGUGCAACGCUCCUUAAACGAUUGGGUGAGAGAAGAUCGUAAAAAAUACCCAAUAUUCAAAUCGAAUAUACUCGUACAAUAUCGCGCAGCUGCCAAUCGUUUGGUGCAUAGAAUACAGCAUGAGGAACUGGCGGUGCCUUUGUCGUCAACUGAAUAUCCGCACGUUAGCGAUAUGGAUAUAUUUGUGCGUGAUGGCGAACGGUUGACGCAGGCCAAGAUACUGUCACGUAACAGUAACGUCGACGAAUUAAUAAACGAUUUGACUAGGGUGACUAGCAACAUAGCGGAAAAGAUCUCCGGUAGUUUCGCAUCGAUUAAUCUCGAUGUGGACGCCACCACCGUGCCCAAAGACAAUCCAUGGUUGCUCAUACAGUUUAGCGUGAGUGUGCGUGAUAGCAUCUAUUCGAUUGUACGCUAUAAUGAUACCAUUGGAUGGGAGUAUAAUGCCUUUCCAGGCUUACAAGCAUUUCUGCUGGUUGGCAAGACACUCUUUCAAGCUUUAAUCAUACACAAAUCGCACAGUUACAGUGCCGUGGUAGCAGCAAUGGAUACCAUAAUGCGUUCAUGCAUAGUGUCGAAGUACCCGCAUUAUGACGAUCAUGAGUAUCGCAAUCCGGAAAUAGAGAAGGUAUGUCGUAAUUUGAAGUGGGAAACCUUUGAAGAACUGCGCGCCCAACUAGCUGAAAUCUUAAAAGGCGCAAGGGAGGAAACAGUAUGAAGCUUGAGUUUCGCGAAGUAAAAGGAGUGAGUAAAGUAGAGAGAGAGAGAGAGAGAGAGAGAGAGGAAGUAGAGACAGAGAGGAAGAUAGAAAGCGCGAGAAAACUAUACGACAGAAGUAGACUUAAGAAAACGCCACAAAUUCGACAUAACAAAUAUUUUAUUUAUAAAUAUACAACAUUAUUUAUUUUAAUCCCCCUAACACCAUUUGCGCCUUAUCACUUGAAAGCAGGAUUCGUAACUUUUUAGCAUGAACUCGCUAGUAUUUGUAGCAAUAAUCCCGCAAAUAUGACAACCGAUAACGCUGAUUCCGGUACUUAUGAUGUUUAGUAUGAGGAAGCAGAAAGAUAUUCGAAAGGCUGUGUAGAAAGCAUUGAUCUCCACGAUGAUGACAUUAAAAAUUGUAAAGAAGCAACUGAACUUAUAAAAUUGGAGGCAUUAACAAUCGAUCAAAUUAGCAAUCAGAUCGA